rnacentral:tRNA from 1 species
CAAACAAUAGUCUAAAUUAGGGUCCUAGCUUUGGGAGUUAGGGGUAGGGGUUAAA